AAGGUAGUCUGGCGGAUACGCUCCCUCGCUUGCUCCUUUCUGCCUGUUGACGCGGCCGAGGAAGCAUCGCCGAAGGCUCUCAUCGCCCUGCCGUCAUGUCUAAGUCAGAGUCUCCCAAGGAGCCGGAACAGCUGCGGAAGCUCUUCAUCGGAGGUCUGAGCUUCGAAACAACCGACGAGAGUCUGAGGAGCCAUUUUGAGCAAUGGGGGACACUCACCGACUGUGUGGUAAUGAGAGACCCAAACACCAAGAGAUCCAGGGGCUUUGGGUUCGUCACCUACGCUACUGUGGAGGAGGUAGACGCCGCUAUGAACGCGAGACCACACAAGGUGGAUGGAAGAGUUGUUGAACCCAAGAGAGCCGUGUCGAGAGAAGAUUCUCAGAGACCAGGGGCCCAUUUAACUGUGAAAAAGAUCUUUGUUGGUGGUAUUAAAGAAGACACUGAAGAACAUCACCUGCGGGAUUACUUUGAACAGUAUGGAAAAAUUGAAGUGAUUGAAAUCAUGACUGACAGAGGCAGUGGGAAGAAGAGAGGCUUUGCAUUUGUCACCUUUGACGACCAUGACUCUGUGGAUAAGAUUGUUAUUCAAAAAUAUCAUACUGUGAAUGGCCACAACUGUGAAGUAAGAAAAGCCCUGUCAAAACAAGAGAUGGCUAGUGCCUCAUCCAGCCAGAGAGGUCGAAGUGGUUCUGGAAGCUUUGGUGGAGGUCGUGGAGGUGGUUUUGGUGGCAAUGACAAUUUUGGUCGAGGAGGAAACUUCAGUGGUCGUGGUGGCUUUGGUGGCAGCCGUGGUGGUGGUGGAUAUGGUGGCAGUGGGGAUGGCUAUAAUGGAUUUGGUAAUGAUGGUGGUUAUGGAGGAGGCGGCCCUGGUUACUCUGGAGGAAGCAGAGGCUAUGGAAGUGGUGGACAGGGUUAUGGAAACCAGGGCAGUGGCUAUGGCGGGAGUGGCAGCUAUGACAGCUAUAACAACGGCGGAGGCGGCUUUGGCGGUGGUAGUGGAAGCAAUUUUGGAGGUGGUGGAAGCUACAAUGAUUUUGGAAAUUACAACAAUCAGUCUUCAAAUUUUGGACCAAUGAAGGGAGGAAACUUUGGAGGCAGGAGCUCUGGCCCUUAUGGUGGUGGAGGCCAAUACUUUGCUAAACCACGAAACCAAGGUGGCUAUGGAGGUUCCAGCAGCAGCAGUAGCUAUGGCAGCGGCAGGAGGUUCUAAUCACAUCACAGCCAGGGAGGAAUCUGCUACAAGGCUUAACCGCUGUUGUAAAAAAAUUUUUUAAAAGACAGAAGUUGUUGGCUAAAAGGCCAGCUCAAUCUGUGGCCUCCAUCUUCGUCCCACGGGGUACCAGAAAGAUGGCUCCAUCAGCAGCCUGUUGUAGUACAUAUUCCUCUGGUGAGUAACUGUUGCCGGAUUCAUCACGAAGAUGCUGGAAAAUGUCAUGGUACAGCUCUGCCAGCUGUUGGCGCAUGACCUCCAGAGUGCGGUCGGCCUCACCGCGGGCUCUGAGAAGCUGCUCCCUUUCACUGCCCAGCCGCUCCAGUUCCCGCUCCAGCUGCACAAUGGUUUCCAGUUUUCUCUUGCGACAGUUCUGGGCCGCCACCUUGUUCUUGCCCCGCCGUCGGAUGUCCCGGACUAGAGCCAGUUGGCUCUCCGUUAGCGGGUACUGUGCCAACAGCUCAUUAAAGUCGUCUACUGGCAG